rnacentral:tRNA from 13 species
GGGGACGUGGCGGAAUUGGUAGACGCACUGGAUUUAGGUUCCAGCGCCGAGAGGUGUGAGAGUUCGAGUCUCUCCGUCCCCACCA